rnacentral:rRNA from 1 species
CCUACGGGAGGCAGCAGUGAGGAAUAUUGGUCAAUGGUCGGGAGACUGAACCAGCCAAGCCGCGUGAGGGAUGAAGGUACAGAGUAUCGUAAACCUCUUUUGUCAGGGAACAAAGGCGGGGACGUGUCCCCGGAUGAGUGUACCUGAAGAAAAAGCAUCGGCUAACUCCGUGCCAGCAGCCGCGGUAAUACGGAGGAUGCGAGGGUUAUCCGGAUUUAUUGGGUUUAAGGGGUGCGCAGGCGGUCUGUUAAGUCAGCGGUCAAAGCUCGGGGCUCAACCCCAGACCGCCGUUGAAAAUGGCAGUCUUGAGUUGGGGAGAGGUAGGCGGAAUGCGCGGUGUAGCGGUGAAAUGCAUAGAUAUCGCGCAGAACUCCGAUUGCGAAGGCAGCAUGCCGGCUCCACACUGACGCUGAGGCACGAAAGCGUGGGUAUCGAACAGGAUUAGAUACCCUGGUAGUC